rnacentral:rRNA from 1 species
UACGUAGGAGGCAAGCGUUGUCCGGAAUCACUGGGCGUAAAGCGCGUGUAGGUGGAGCAGGAAGUCUGCUGUGAAAGCGCCUGGCUUAACCGGGCGAGGUCGGUGGAAACUCCUGGUCUAGAGGCCGGUAGAGGGGGGGUGGAAUUCCGGGUGUAGUGGUGAAAUGCGUAGAGAUCCGGAGGAACACCCGUGGCGAAGGCGGCUUACUGGACCGGUUCUGACGCUGAGGCGCGAAAGCGUGGGGAGCAAACAGG